UCACCUACGGGAGGCAGCAGUGAGGAAUAUUGGUCAAUGGACGCAAGUCUGAACCAGCCAUGCCGCGUGCAGGAUGACGGCUCUAUGAGUUGUAAACUGCUUUUGUACGAGGGUAAACCCCGAUACGUGUAUCGGGUUGAAAGUAUCGUACGAAUAAGGAUCGGCUAACUCCGUGCCAGCAGCCGCGGUAAUACGGAGGGUCCGAGCGUUAUCCGGAUUUAUUGGGUUUAAAGGGGGCGUAGGCGGGUUGGUAAGUUAG
rnacentral:rRNA from 1 species